rnacentral:rRNA from 1 species
CCUACGUGGGGCAGCAGUGAGGAAUAUUGGUCAAUGGGCGCGAGCCUGAACCAGCCAAGUCGCGUGAGGGAAGACGGCCCUAUGGAUUGUAAACCUCUUUUGUCGGGGAGCAAAAGACGCCACGCGUGGCGUUCCGAGAGUACCCGAAGAAAAAGCAUCGGCUAACUCCGUGCCAGCAGCCGCGGUAAUACGGAGGAGGCGAGCGUUAUCCGGAUUUAUUGGGUUUAAGGGGUGCGUAGGCGGAAGAUCAAGUCAGGGGUAAAAUUGAGAGGCACAACCUCUUCGAGCCGUUGAAACUGGGUUUCUUGAGUGAGUGGGAAGUAGGCGGAAUGGGUGGUGUAGCGGUGAAAUGCAUAGAUAUAACGCAGAAC